rnacentral:rRNA from 1 species
AGCAGCCGCGGUAAUUCCAGCUCCAAUAGCGUAUAUUAAAGUUGUUGCAGUUAAAAAGCUCGUAGUUGAAUUUCGGGGUUAGUAGGUUGGUCAUGCCUCUGGUAUGUACUGGUCUCACUGAUUCCUCCUUCCUGAUGAACCUUAAUGCCAUUAAUUUGGUGUUUUGGGGAAUUUGGACUGUUACUUUGAAAAAAUUAGAGUGUUUAAAGCAAGCUAACGCUUGAAUACAUUAGCAUGGAAUAAUGAAAUAGGACGUUCGAUCCUAUUUUGUUGGUUUCUAGGAUUGACGUAAUGAUUAAUAGGGAUAGUUGGGGGCAUUAGUAUUCAAUUGUCAGAGGUGAAAUUCUUGGAUUUAUUGAAGACUAACUACUGCGAAAGCAUUUGCCAAGGAUGUUUUCAUUAAUCAAGAACGAAAGUUAGGGGAUCGAAGACGAUCAGAUACCGUCGUAGUCUUAACCAUAAACUAUGCCGAC